rnacentral:rRNA from 1 species
CUACGGGUGGCUGCAGUGGGGAAUAUUGCACAAUGGGCGCAAGCCUGAUGCAGCCAUGCCGCGUGUAUGAAGAAGGCCUUCGGGUUGUAAAGUACUUUCAGCGGGGAGGAAGGGAGUAAAGUUAAUACCUUUGCUCAUUGACGUUACCCGCAGAAGAAGCACCGGCUAACUCCGUGCCAGCAGCCGCGGUAAUACGGAGGGUGCAAGCGUUAAUCGGAAUUACUGGGCGUAAAGCGCACGCAGGCGGUUUGUGAAGUCAGAUGUGAAAUCCCCGGGCUCAACCUGGGAACUGCAUCUGAUACUGGCGAGCUUGAGUCUCGUAGAGGGGGGUAGAAUUCCAGGUGUAGCGGUGAAAUGCGUAGAGAUCUGGAGGAAUACCGGUGGCGAAGGCGGCCCCCUGGACGAAGACUGACGCUCAGGUGCGAAAGCGUGGGGAGCAAACAGGAUUAGAUACCCGGGUAGUC